AGUGCUCGCAAGAGAACCGGAACACAGGUGCUGCAUGGCUGCGUCAGCUCGUGUCGUGAGAUGUUGGGUUAAGUCCCGCAACGAGCGCAACCCUUGUCAUUAGUUGCCAUCAUUUGGUUGGGCACUCUAAUGAGACUGCCGGUGACAAACCGGAGGAAGGUGGGGAUGACGUCAAGUCCUCAUGGCCCUUAUGGGUAGGGCUUCACACGUCAUACAAUGGUCGGUACAGAGGGUUGCCAACCCGCGAGGCGGAGCCAAUCCCACAAAGCCGAUCGUAGUCCGGAUUGCAGUCUGCAACUCGACUGCAUGAAGUCGGAAUCGCUAGUAAUCGCGGAUCAGCAUGUCGCGGUGAAUACGUUCCCGGGUCUU
rnacentral:rRNA from 1 species